GGAGAGGUGGCAGAGUGGUCGAAUGCACCGCACUCGAAAUGCGGCGUGGGGGCAACUCCACCGGGGGUUCGAAUCCCUCCCUCUCCG
rfam:Devosia sp. 66-22 SCNpilot_expt_1000_bf_scaffold_97, whole genome shotgun sequence.